GGCGCACUGGCUAGGACUGGAAGGCAAGGACUAAGGUGAAAGCUGACUGCCCGCACCGCCCCAGGCGCACUGGGUAGGACUGAAAGGCAGGGACUAAGGUGACAGCUGACUCUGCCGGGGCGGAGUGCGUGUCCUCCCACCGUGCUGGCGCUGAACUGACUGUCCGCUGCCAAGGGAAGUGACAGCCGCAGCCGGGCUCUCAGCCAGCGGCCAGGCGCCCCGCGGACCAUGCUCUCCAGUACGCAGAACGCGGGCGGCUCCUAUCAGCGGGUCCGCGGGGCGCUUGAUACACAGAGUAAUUACUUUAGGCUAUAAGAGACCUUUGGAAAGAGAGGAUCUUUUUGAACUAAAGGAAAGUGAUUCCUUCUGCACUGCGUGUCCCAUCUUUGAAAAACAAUGGAGAAAGGAAGUUUUAAGGAAUCAAGAGAGGCAAAAAGUAAAGGUAUCUUGUUAUAAAGAGGCACAUAUCAAGAAACCAUCUCUACUCUAUGCAUUGUGGAACACCUUUAAAUCCAUCCUGAUUCAAGUUGCCUUAUUCAAAGUGUUUGCUGAUAUUUUGUCCUUCACUAGCCCACUCAUAAUGAAGCAAAUUAUCAUUUUCUGUGAACACAGCUCAGAUUUUGGCUGGAAUGGCUAUGGCUAUGCAGUGGCACUUCUUGUUGUAGUCUUUUUGCAAACUCUGAUUCUUCAGCAAUAUCAACGUUUUAACAUGCUCACCUCAGCAAAAGUUAAGACAGCUGUAAAUGGACUGAUCUACAAAAAGGCCUUACUUUUAUCAAAUGUUUCUCGACAAAAGUUUUCCACUGGGGAAAUUAUUAACUUGAUGUCAGCAACUCAUGGACUUGACAGCAAACCUCAAUCUCCUCUGGUCUGCCCCUUUUCAAAUCCUAAUGGCCGUAUAUCUCCUUUGGCAAGAGCUGGGUCCAGCAGUGUUAGCAGGGGUGGCAGUCCUUGUGUUUGUUAUACCAAUAAAUGCUUUAGCUGCAACUAAAAUAAAAAAGUUAAAGGUAAGAAAA
ensembl:lncRNA ABCC13 ATP binding cassette subfamily C member 13 (pseudogene)